CAAUAGCGUAUAUUAAAGUUGUUGCAGUUAAAAAGCUCGUAGUUGGAUUUCUGGUUGAAGCGACCGGUCGGGCGUUGAUUCGUCUGCACUGGAGUCGGUUUUGGCCAUCCUCUAGGAAAGUGCGUCUGGUAUUAAGUUAUCGGGCGUAUGAUCCUGGUCUUUUACUGUGAAAAAAUUAGAGUGUUUAAAGCAGGCCUUCGCCUUGAAUACAUUAGCAUGGAAUAAUAAGAUAGGACUUUGGUCUAUUUUGUUGGUUUGCAGACCGAAGUAAUGAUUAAUAGGGAUAGUUGGGGGUAUUUAUAUUCCGACGUCAGAGGUGAAAUUCUUAGAUUUUCGGAAGAUAAACUUAUGCGAAAGCAUUUACCAAGGAUGUUUNCAUUAA
rnacentral:rRNA from 1 species